CUCACGUUGGUGAAGGACGCGCAGGGCCGGAGACUGCGCAGGGCGUCCUGCCGCGCAGGCUGAGUUUGGAGCGUUGAGCUGACGGCAGGGCUUUAGGGUGGACAUAGGCAUCCUGUGUUCUGAAAAGAUUCUUUCUCUACCAGACUUUUAUCAGGCUCUGGAAGGGUCUCCUAGGCCCAUCUGUCCCCGUCCUUGUAAAAUCCACUUUUAGCGAGAGCUGUAUGACCCGUUAGUAUAUAGUGAAUAUCGUAUUACAUUCAGGGGACAACUAUGUAAUUAAGUAUUGUCUGGUGAGACGGUGUGUAGAGACACCAAAUAAAAUCUCUAUGGCUCAAAGAUUUAAACCCAACAAAUGGAAUAGUAAGUAUAUUAGAAAACAACUCGGGGGUCGGAUUCCUAAUGAAAAGUAGAAGUGGCAUUCGUGAGUAAUAGGCGUGUUUAGAUAAUGCAGGUCCAAAGUGCUCGCUUGGCAGCACGUAGACUACAAUUGGAACAAUAUAGAGAAGAUUAGCAUGGCCCCUGUGCAAGGAUGAUACACAAAACUUUGAAGCAUUCUAUAUUAAAAAAAGUCGAGAAGUGAGAAGACUAACGUGCUGUUAUUAAACAAUCCGUUCACAAAAUGGCUGUCUGCAUCUGUCCUGGUGUCUUCUGCCAUCUCGGGGGAUGCACAGGACUUGCCCAGGGUCACCCGUGAGGCAGAGAUCAAGCUGGACCAUGGGUUUUCUACUCUCCCCACCCCCAUCCUGGGCUCUAACAGAAGAAUGAAAUGUCUGCUGGUUACGGUCUGUUUCAAAUCCAGCCCAAACUCAGUCAAGAGCAUGGAGGGCCUCAGAACUCAUGCAGGUUCCUUCUGCCCUCCUUCCCUGGGAAGGGUGCUGCUGGCUCCAAUCUGCGUGGGCAGUUCCAGGUUCCAGCAUAGGUCUGACCCACGAGGAUACGUGGGAGACAGGUGUGGAUUUAUAUAGCACUGGGUGCAGUGGUCUACCAACCCCUACGUGCAGCCUUCUUUCAGGCUGGUGGGGCCCUCCUAGCACUGGCUGGGUCCUUUGUCCUAUCCAAGCGAUCAGCAGUAGACUGUCAGGUCUCAGACAGAGCAACCCUUGGCCUCUGACCACCCAGGCAGGCAUCUGUAGUCUUCAAGCUCAGACCAGCCUGGGUGUUGACAACCCCGGACUGUGUUCCUGGCAAUUGAACAGUCCAUGGGCAGUGUAGACAGUCCCACUAGAUGUUUUCAUUUCCAGCAUUUGUGUGGUUGAAACAAGUGCCUCCUCCCUCACUUCUAGUCUCCCAAGAAAGAUAAUAACCCUCCAAAUGUGAAUGUGGCCUUGGCCACUACAGCCACACAGCAGACUGGCCCUGCAGUCCUUUGGCCUCCCAGUUGUAAUGCAAACCUUUGACAUGCAUACUCAUUAGGAGUCAAGGAUAUAGGACCAACUGUGUCUCUCACUGACGCUGCAUGGUCUCAGAGAGCCACAUGCAGGACCCAGGGACUGUGGCCUCCAGAAAGCCUGCAAAGUGUGGAUUCCAUGUUGUGGAAUAAUUCUUGAGCCUCUCAUUGUUUCACUGAGCAAUAAUUUCCUUACCAUAUUCACAUUUGGUCUCUGCUCUUUGUAAAGGAGAGAGAAGAGACUGGAAAAUGAGCUAGUUUGUUCUUUGGGCUUGGGUAAUUAAUGUGGCCGGGAGGCAGGUGUGACUCCUGGUCUCCCUCCUCCCAGGGACGUGAGUGAGGUCUGUGUGCCCUCCGGUCUCUGAGCACAAGGAUCCAAUGCCCAGUACAGGAGCCUUGGGUUUCCCACCAACAGCAAAGUUGCUUUUUCAGCAGGUGAAAGAGGACAGCAACAGCACUGGAUGGGCAGCUGCAGCCCCAGCCCUGAGUGAACCCCUUCCUUCCGUGGGCACGGCGGGUUCCACAGCUGCGUAUUCGGCCAUCAGUGAUGCGGAAUCUGCUGCUUUCUGAACCCUUCAUCUGUUCUCAUGCCCAGGUUCAGCACCUCCGCUUUCCUUUGGGAACUGCAUUUCACUCACUUCCCAUCCAAACCGCUCCAGAGGGCAGAUCCCACAUCCCGCAUACCUCAAAGACGGGCAUAUAACCAAUCCAGCCAACCCCGUGCUCUACCCUCUGAUGGCUCCAAGGAUGAGAAUGUGACCCAAGCCAGGCCAAAGGCACUUAAAGCCAUGACUUUUCAUGGAACCCAAGAGAAAGAGAAACUUUUCCCAGGAGAAUGGACAGUGAGUGGGUGUCAGCCUGGAGUUGCUGGAGGCCCCAGAUACAGUGAGAGAGACUGUGCCUGUGAGUGGGGCUGCCCCAAAGGCACUUAGCAGGAUGGAGUAUUGAAGAGGGUCCAGGUCAUACUGGGAGAGUAUGAGCCCCUGGACCAGUCAGGUUCAAACCCACUCUUAACUUGCUUCUUGCAAGUAUUCAUUUAUUUCUACCAUUGAAAAAUAUUAACUUGUUUUACUUUAGUAAGUGUGUCCAGUCCCUUGCCAUCUAAAAAGUGCUGGCUGACUCAUCAGAACCAAUAAUUCCGGAGACUCCCUGUGCAUGGUAUCCUCACUGGGCGGGCCAUGGUUGGGGGAGACAAAGACAGUGGGUGGGGUCAGGUCUCAGGGGAGCUCCAGAACAGCUCUUUAUCCUUGUUCGUUCUCUGUCCUGGGAAAGGAAAACCCCCAGAACAAUGAGAGGAGGACCAUCAGGAGGAGGAGGCUCUGGAUGAGCAAUCGGUCUGUUUGUAUUUUCCUUAUUUUAGGGUACAUUUUGUUAAUGUGUGUUUUUACUAGGAAGCCACUCAUCUCUAGCUUUCCAGUCUGAUGCAGUAGGUUUCUCUUAUUUGAUCUUUAGUUUUGACUUUUUCUAUUUUUCUACAGAAUUGUCACAAUUAAUGAACAAAUAUUAAUGUUAUAAGGUUUAUUUUUGAGAGAGAGAGAGAGAGAGAGAUCAUGGGGGAGGGGAGAGGGAGAGAGAGAGUCCCAAGGAGGCUCUCAGCUGCCAGUGCAUAGCCCGACAACGGGGCUCAAACCCACUAACCAUGAGAUCAUGACCAAGAGUCAGAUGCUUAACCAACAGAGCCACCCAGGUGCUUUGAUAGGUUGUUAUUUACUAAAACUCAUACUUUAUUCAGGUUCCCUCUGUUCUACUUUUUCCUCCUCCAGUGUUGCCUGCUGGGCACCACAUGACAUGUAUCCACCACAUCCCUUGAGGCUCUUUAUGGCUCACAUGGCUGCGACAGUCCCUCAGACUUGUCUUGUUUCAAUGACCUUGGCAGUGUCAAGGAGGACUGGUCAGGUAAUCCUCAGUGGGAUUUACUGGGUGUUUGCCUCAUGAUUAGAUUGGGGUUAUGGGUUUUGAGGAAGCAGAUCACAGAGGUAAAGUGCUCUGUCAUCACUGCAUAUUAAAGGAACAUGCUCUGGAGGCUACUUAUCACUUUCUGUGUUCACUUUGGUCGCCUGGCUGAGGCAGUGCUUGUCAUGCUUCCCCACUGUGAAUUACUCUUUCCCAUGUGCAUAUGAUGUGUCUUCUUGAGCAGGAAUAUACUACGCGGAGCCCACAGUGUAGGAGAGCGGAGUUAGCUCCACCUCCUUGAUGGAUGGCUGAGUGUCUACAUCUAUUAUGUGGAAUUUGAUAGGAGAGGUCUAUUCAACCCAUUUUUUAAAAAUAUGAAAUGUAUUGUCAGAUUGGUUUCCAUACAACACCCACUGUUCAUCCCAACAGGUGCCCUCCUCAA